rnacentral:rRNA from 1 species
ACGCUGGCGGCGUGCUUAACACAUGCAAGUCGAACGGUGAAGGCGGAGCUUGCUCUGCUGGAUCAGUGGCGAACGGGUGAGUAACACGUGAGCAAUCUGCCCCUGACUCUGGGAUAAGCGCUGGAAACGGCGUCUAAUACUGGAUACGAGCUGCGAAGGCAUCUUCAGCAGCUGGAAAGAACUUCGGUCAGGGAUGAGCUCGCGGCCUAUCAGCUUGUUGGUGAGGUAACGGCUCACCAAGGCGUCGACGGGUAGCCGGCCUGAGAGGGUGACCGGCCACACUGGGACUGAGACACGGCCCAGACUCCUACGGGAGGCAGCAGUGGGGAAUAUUGCACAAUGGGCGAAAGCCUGAUGCAGCAACGCCGCGUGAGGGACGACGGCCUUCGGGUUGUAAACCUCUUUUAGCAGGGAAGAAGCGAAAGUGACGGUACCUGCAGAAAAAGCGCCGGCUAACUACGU